UAAUAAUAGCGCCUGACGUUUAGUGAGUAUC
rnacentral:piRNA from 1 species